AGUCGAGGGGUAACGGAAGUAGCUUGCUACUAGACGACGACCGGCGCACGGGUGAGUAACGCGUAUGUAAUCUGCCUUGUACAGAGGGAUAGCCCAGAGAAAUUUGGAUUAAUACCUCAUAGUAUUACCGAAUCGCAUGAUUUGGUAAUUAAAGCUCCGGCGGUACAAGAUGAACAUGCGUGACAUUAGCUAGUUGGUAAGGUAACGGCUUACCAAGGCCACGAUGUCUAGGGGUUCUGAGAGGAUGAUCCCCCACACUGGUACUGAGACACGGACCAGACUCCUACGGGAGGCAGCAGUGAGGAAUAUUGGUCAAUGGACGCAAGUCUGAACCAGCCAUCCCGCGUGAAGGAUGACUGCCCUAUGGGUUGUAAACUUCUUUUAUAUGCAAAUAAACCUACUUUCGUGAAAGUAGCUGAAGGUAGCAUAUGAAUAAACACCGGCUAACUCCGUGCCAGCAGCCGCGGUAAUACGGAGGGUGUAAGCGUUAUCCGGAUUUAUUGGGUUUAAAGGGUACGU
rnacentral:rRNA from 1 species